GCCUCUGUGGAUUAAUUUAAAUCACCUCUGAUCAAUGACAUGUGGGCUGGGUGUUGAAUGAAGAGGAUGAUGUGGGUUCGAAUCCCACCAGAGGCA